rnacentral:rRNA from 1 species
GAGUGAACGCUGGCGGUAGGCCUAACACAUGCAAGUCGAACGGCAGCACAGUAAGAGCUUGCUCUUACGGGUGGCGAGUGGCGGACGGGUGAGGAAUACAUCGGAAUCUACUUUUUCGUGGGGGAUAACGUAGGGAAACUUACGCUAAUACCGCAUACGACCUACGGGUGAAAGCAGGGGAUCUUCGGACCUUGCGCGAUUGAAUGAGCCGAUGUCGGAUUAGCUAGUUGGCGGGGUAAAGGCCCACCAAGGCGACGAUCCGUAGCUGGUCUGAGAGGAUGAUCAGCCACACUGGAACUGAGACACGGUCCAGACUCCUACGGGAGGCAGCAGUGGGGAAUAUUGGACAAUGGGCGCAAGCCUGAUCCAGCCAUACCGCGCGGGUGAAGAAGGCCUUCGGGUUGUAAAGCCCUUUUGUUGGGAAAGAAAAGCAGCAGGUUAAUACCCCGCCGUUCUGACGGUACCCAAAGAAUAAGCACCGGCUAACUUCGUG